rnacentral:rRNA from 1 species
UACGUAGGGUGCGAGCGUUGUCCGGAAUUAUUGGGCGUAAAGGGCUCGUAGGCGGUUUGUCGCGUCGGGAGUGAAAUCCACUGGCUUAACUGGUGGCUUGCUUUCGAUACGGGCAGACUGGAGGUAUGCAGGGGAGAACGGAAUUCCUGGUGUAGCGGUGAAAUGCGUAGAUAUCUGGAGGAACACCGGUGGCGAAGGCGGCAUCCUGGACCGGCAUUGACGCUGAGGAGCGAAAGCCAGGGGAGCAAACGGG